rnacentral:lncRNA from 1 species
UGAAUGACAAGAUGUGCCUGAUGAAGUAGUGUUCUGAAUUUUGCACUGGAAUUUUACUGGCACACACUGCUUGGGGUGCUUGUUCAGCUGCUUGUUCCAGCCUGUAGAAGAGCCUGAACACAAAUUGGCAGAAUCUAUGCAGCAAGGCUCUGAAAAUCAUCUCCAGUGAUCCAGAAAGCCUCGUAGCAAGCAGAAGAAGUCCUGCUCCUUGUCACUGUGAUUAUGGAGAUGCAGGAAGCAGCAUUUGUUCAUCUUUCAUGCCAGACUUUCAAACUCUGCAAUGUGACUGACUGAUGCAGUAAGUGCAGUUAAUUUUAAUUCUGAUUUUUAGGACUGGA